rnacentral:rRNA from 1 species
AUUGAACGCUGGCGGCAUGCCUUACACAUGCAAGUCGAACGGCAGCGCGGACUUCGGUCUGGCGGCGAGUGGCGAACGGGUAAGUAAUACAUCGGAACGUACCCUGUUGUGGGGGAUAACUAGUCGAAAGAUUAGCUAAUACCGCAUACGACCUGAGGGUGAAAGUGGGGGACCGCAAGGCCUCACGCAGCAGGAGCGGCCGAUGUCUGAUUAGCUAGUUGGUGGGGUAAAGGCACACCAAGGCGACGAUCAGUAGCUGGUCUGAGAGGACGAUCAGCCACACUGGGACUGAGACACGGCCCAGACUCCCACGGGAGGCAGCAGUGGGGAAUUUUGGACAAUGGGGGCAACCCUGAUCCAGCAAUGCCGCGUGUGUGAAGAAGGCCUUCGGGUUGUAAAGCACUUUUGUCCGGAAAGAAAUCGCGCUGGUUAAUACCUGGCGUGGAUGACGGUACCGGAAGAAUAAGCACCGGCUAACUACGUGCCAGCAGCCGCAGUAA